UAACGCGUGGGCAACCUGCCCCGCACUGGGGGACAACAGCCGGAAACGGCUGCUAAUACCGCAUAUGCGCACAGCUUUGCAUGAAGCAGUGUGGAAAACUCCGGUGGUGCGGGAUGGGCCCGCGUCUGAUUAGCUGGUUGGCGGGGCAACGGCCCACCAAGGCGACGAUCAGUAGCCGGCCUGAGAGGGUGGACGGCCACAUUGGGACUGAGACACGGCCCAGACUCCUACGGGAGGCAGCAG
rnacentral:rRNA from 1 species